UUCUGUGAUUUUACCAACUUAAUGCCACAUCAUUUAUAGUUUUUUCCUCUCCAGUUCAUUUGCACCAGUAUGAACUGUGGAGAUGAACGUCGGUGCCUGGAUCAUAAAGACAUGUGUGAACUGUUCCUCAGCACAUGCAGCCCUGUUGUUUGGUUUGACUGUUCUCUGGUGUGUACUGCCAUCUAAGGGCUGCAGGUGUAUUCUGACAUGAGGCACAGUAUAUGGACAAAAGUAUGUACACCUGAAUAUUACACUGAUAACCACCAGAUAUUGGAACCUGGCUGCAGGAAUUUGCUCAUCAGGAGGCACACACAUAUCCAUAUAUUUUUUGCAACAAUAAUCUGCACAUUAUAACAAAAAUAUACCUGCACACGGCCAUCUUCCUUCCAGUUCCUCCUUAAUUCUACAUAGACAUAAUUGAUUGGAAGUCCUGGUGGUGGGGGCGCUGUUGCUGGUCUCGACGGUGCUUGGAGGUCCCAUUGUGGUGGUGUUUUGACAGCGUCCUUGGGGGGCUUCUGAGAUUGGGGCAUGGGGACUGGGUUUAGGUACGUCUAAGUGUAUGGGUAAGUAUAUGUGUAAAGACCUUUUGACAUUUCACAGCAGGAAAAGCACAGGUGUUACUAAUAGCAUUAAUGAUGGCUGCAUUCCAUUUAGGUGAGCCAGUUCCAGGGUUUGGUAUUGUGCAUGCUGGCUUGAAGGGACACUUAAUGGAGCAAAGACUUAGUAGUUCCUGUUAGUAGCCUUUUCUACUAUGAUAAGUCCAAAUAAAGAUAAAAUAAAGAAAAAUAAGACAUUCCUUAUUUCAUGACUACAACCAGAUCUUAACAUUGUUUUAAUUGUCUCUCCUGUUGUCAGUUUGCUCUGUGAUUUACUCUCAUUGUCAUUUCAGGACCUGCCCCUCCCUCCCUUCUCUCUAGUCCUCAGCAUUUGCUGCCUUCAGCCAUCACCUGACUUCCACCAGCACACCUGUUCCCAAUCCACUAAUAAGCUCCACAGCAUAUACACCAGCCACUUUCCGUUCAGUUUCCUGGCAGGGCCAUUCAAAUCUUUGUAGGACCAGUUUCAGGCCACGAGGGACUAGCUGGGGGCAAUCUCUGAAGGAUUAUUCCCCAAAAAAGAUGGAACAAGCUGAUCUUUUUUCAAAACCUCACCAGACACUCUCAUGCUGACAACAAGCUGCAGGGGGAUUUCCCAUGAUCAGAGUGUUGAAUGAUAAAUAGGCUGGCUGACCCAGCAGUGGAAUCCAGGCUGAAGAUACUGUUUCCAAAUAAUCCAGACAACCCACGUUCGAAUCCACUAGAACUGGUACUGCCAUGCUAGCAGCAGAAAGGUUUGCUACCUCUGUACCAGCCCUCUGACUCCUCCUUGAGACCCCUAAUUCUCUAUCAGCCCUUCAGACACCUCUCUUACCCCCUUUAGACCUCCAUACCCCUUGAUCAACUUGUAAUACCUCUCUUUCAGCCCCCCACACCACUCUAUAGACUCUAUCAUCCACCCAAAACUAUUCCAUCAUCUCCUUUUUUUUUAGACCAUCUAUCUCACCCCGUGCCCUUCCAUCAACCCUUCAAACCCAUCUAUCAUCCCACUAUACCCCCCUGUUAACCCUUUAAAACCCACAUCUUCCCUUUCAACCUCUCUACUGGCCUUCAUCAGCCCUUUAUGUGAUGGGCACAUCAAACCCUGCCAAAGGUGAGGAAAUACUGAUCAUAUUUGAACACAAGAGACGGAGACCAUGUGGCUAUUCAGUCUCUGGAGUUUAUUCUAAAAUGAUACGAGUGCAGAUUUCACAAUAAAACAGUUCCUGUCACAGUAUUUUUCUACCACUUAAGUCUUUGUCAAUGGGGGGUGAGAUGUUGUGUGGGAUAUCUGAAAACUUGUAACCCUGAGCUGUU